ensembl:snoRNA small nucleolar RNA snR60/Z15/Z230/Z193/J17
UUGACACAGUGAUGACUGCAUAGUUCAACAGAUUUACUGUGAAGAAUACAUUUGUCUUUCGCUCCUAUCUGACGUGUCAG